UUUAUAUUAAUUUUCUUGAAUUUAGACAAUAAUUCGGUGAAUUAAUUAUCGUCUUGAAUUUAGACAACAGUUUCUGGUGGGGUGCAACCAAUUUGUAUUAUACUCUCUGUAAAAUGGAUUUAUUAGUAUUAUUUUUUUGUCCCUCUUCAAAACAUCUUUUUAAUUUAUUUUAAAAAUAAUACUACUCCAUGGAGUACUAAUUAGUAUUAUUUUUACCAUUCUCACAUAUUUAUACCAAUUAUCACAAAAAAAUCACCAUUUUUUAUUUUAAUAAUUAAUACUUAAUUACUAUCAUCACUUUUUAUAUUAUCACUAUUUUUAACUCAUGAGAUCUUUUUUCCAAUCAUCGAAAUACAAAAUUAACUUAGUAAGAUGUUUCUGGGACAUAGAGUAGUAAUUAUCAUCUACAAAUUUAGACAAUAAUUCAGAGAAUUAAUCGAACAUCAAUAAAUGAGUAACGAUCUAAUUAUAUAAGUUAAAUAGAAUCUGAAAAAGCCCUUUCAUCGGGUGCCGGGCAUGAAUUGAGAUCCAAACCCGGAUUUCCGUGUGGAUCUGAUUUUUCCGUAGAUUUCACAACUUCGACGAAAUCUUCCGGCUUAAAUGCCGGGCUCCAUGGCUCCGCCGUCGACUGGCGGCCGCCGUUACGCCUCCGAAAAUACUUGACGGCGACGUGUAUUCUUCUCAGUAUAGCGAAGAAUGCCUCCACCUCCUCAUCCCCCGGCGCCGCCACCUCGACGGCGUCACCGCCCUCAGGUUCCGGCGUUUUACUUCCUUUCCCGUCAAAUUCUUCGCCGUCAGCCCUUUUUCUUUUCUCAAUUUUCAUUGUAGAUUACGAGAUGAGAAACUCAAAAGCAAAGAAAACCAAAAUCGAAAAUAAUAAAACAAUAAAAAAAAAAAGACAAGGGCUUCUGUUACAGCUUAUGUUUGAAGCAGUAAGGGCUAUUAAUAUAUCGAGUAUGACGUCAAGCGUGUGAUGAUUUAUGACGUUAGAUGAUGGUAGUAUUUU
rnacentral:lncRNA from 1 species